rnacentral:rRNA from 1 species
GUGGNUUUUAAAGGGAGGCGAGUAUGAAUGGNUCUACGGAAACAAGCUGUCUCUUUUUGGUUAUAUUGAAGUUUCUUUAAGGGUGCAAAGUCCCUUGAUUAGAAAAAAGACGAGAAGACCCUUAGAGUUUUUAUUAAAGAUAAGAAUUUAUUUAAGUUUUUGCUGGGGCGGCAAAGAGACAAAGCAAUUAAACUCUCUUUUUAUUGUUUUUAGAAGACGAAAAUGUUAAGAAUCAUUAAACUACCUUAGGGAUAACAGCAUAAUUAAAUUUUAGUUUGUGACCUCGAUGUUGGACUAGGAAGGCUUUUGACCAGCAGUCAAAAAGUGUGGUUCUGUUCGAACUAA